rnacentral:rRNA from 1 species
UGACGAGUGGCGGACGGGUGAGUAAUGCUUGGGAACUUGCCUUUGCGAGGGGGAUAACAGUUGGAAACGACUGCUAAUACCGCAUAAUGUCUUCGGACCAAACGGGGCUUCGGCUCCGGCGCAAAGAGAGGCCCAAGUGAGAUUAGCUAGUUGGUAAGGUAACGGCUUACCAAGGCGACGAUCUCUAGCUGUUCUGAGAGGAAGAUCAGCCACACUGGGACUGAGACACGGCCCAGACUCCUACGGGAGGCAGCAGUGGGGAAUAUUGCACAAUGGGGGAAACCCUGAUGCAGCCAUGCCGCGUGUGUGAAGAAGGCCUUCGGGUUGUAAAGCACUUUCAGUUGUGAGGAAAAGUUAGUAGUUAAUACCUGCUAGCCGUGACGUUAACAACAGAAGAAGCACCGGCUAACUCCGUGCCAGCAGCCGCGGUAAUACGGAGGGUGCGAGCGUUAAUCGGAAUUACUGGGCGUAAAGCGCACGCAGGCGGUUUGUUAAGCUAGAUGUGAAAGCCCCGGGCUCAACCUGGGAUGGUCAUUUAGAACUGGCAGACUAGAGUCUUGGAGAGGGGAGUGGAAUUCCAGGUGUAGCGGUGAAAUGCGUAGAUAUCUGGAGGAACAUCAGUGGCGAAGGCGA